AGAGUUUGAUCAUGGCUCAGAUUGAACGCUGGCGGCAGGCCUAACACAUGCAAGUCGAACGGUAACAGGAAGCAGCUUGCUGCUUCGCUGACGAGUGGCGGACGGGUGAGUAAUGUCUGGGAAACUGCCUGAUGGAGGGGGAUAACUACUGGAAACGGUGGCUAAUACCGCAUAACGUCGCAAGACCAAAGAGGGGGACCUUCGGGCCUCUUGCCAUCAGAUGUGCCCAGAUGGGAUUAGCUUGUUGGUGAGGUAACGGCUCACCAAGGCGACGAUCCCUAGCUGGUCUGAGAGGAUGACCAGCCACACUGGAACUGAGACACGGUCCAGACUCCUACGGGAGGCAGCAGUGGGGAAUAUUGCACAAUGGGCGCAAGCCUGAUGCAGCCAUGCCGCGUGUAUGAAGAAGGCCUUCGGGUUGUAAAGUACUUUCAGCGGGGAGGAAGGUGUUGUGGUUAAUAACCGCAGCAAUUGACGUUACCCGCAGAAGAAGCACCGGCUAACUCCGUGCCAGCAGCCGCGGUAAUACGGAGGGUGCAAGCGUUAAUCGGAAUUACUGGGCGUAAAGCGCACGCAGGCGGUCUGUCAAGUCGGAUGUGAAAUCCCCGGGCUCAACCUGGGAACUGCAUUCGAAACUGGCAGGCUUGAGUCUUGUAGAGGGGGGUAGAAUUCCAGGUGUAGCGGUGAAAUGCGUAGAGAUCUGGAGGAAUACCGGUGGCGAAGGCGGCCCCCUGGACAAAGACUGACGCUCAGGUGCGAAAGCGUGGGGAGCAAACAGGAUUAGAUACCCUGGUAGUCCACGCCGUAAACGAUGUCUACUUGGAGGUUGUGCCCUUGAGGCGUGGCUUCCGGAGCUAACGCGUUAAGUAGACCGCCUGGGGAGUACGGCCGCAAGGUUAAAACUCAAAUGAAUUGACGGGGGCCCGCACAAGCGGUGGAGCAUGUGGUUUAAUUCGAUGCAACGCGAAGAACCUUACCUGGUCUUGACAUCCACAGAACUUUCCAGAGAUGGAUUGGUGCCUUCGGGAACUGUGAGACAGGUGCUGCAUGGCUGUCGUCAGCUCGUGUUGUGAAAU
rnacentral:rRNA from 1 species